GACGGAGGAUGCAAGCGUUAUCCGGAAUGAUUGGGCGUAAAGCGUCCGCAGGUGGCUAUUCAAGUCUGCUGUCAAAGAGCAAGGCUCAACCUUGUCAAGGCAGUGGAAACUGAAAGGCUAGAGUGUGGUAGGGGUAGAGGGAAUUCCCAGUGUAGCGGUGAAAUGCGUAGAGAUUGGGAAGAACACCGGUGGCGAAAGCGCUCUACUGGACCUGCACUGACACUGAGGGACGAAAGCUAGGGGAGCGAAUGGG
rnacentral:rRNA from 1 species